CCUACGGGAGGCAGCAGUGGGGAAUAUUGGGCAAUGGGCGCAAGCCUGACCCAGCAACGCCGCGUGAAGGAAGAAGGCUUUCGGGUUGUAAACUUCUUUUCUCAGGGACGAAGAAAGUGACGGUACCUGAGGAAUAAGCCACGGCUAACUACGUGCCAGCAGCCGCGGUAAUCCGUAGGUGGCAAGCGUUAUCCGGAUUUAUUGGGUGUAAAGGGCGUGUAGGCGGGAGGGCAAGUCAGAUGUGAAAACUCAGGGCUCAACCCUGAGCGUGCAUGUGAAACUGGGUUUCUUGAGUGCUGGUGAGGGAAGCGGAAUGCGGGGGGUAGGGGGGAAAGGAGGAGAUAGACGGAGGAACACCAGUGGCGAAGGCGGAAGAACGGAGAGUAACUGACGCGGAGGCGCGAAGGCGUGGGGAGCAAACAGGAUUAGAGACCCGAGUAGUC
rnacentral:rRNA from 1 species